rnacentral:rRNA from 1 species
CUUGCUGUUUUGAUGACGAGUGGCGGACGGGUGAGUAAUGUCUGGGAAACUGCCUGAUGGAGGGGGAUAACUACUGGAAACGGUAGCUAAUACCGCAUAACGUCGCAAGACCAAAGAGGGGGACCUUAGGGCCUCUUGCCAUCGGAUGUGCCCAGAUGGGAUUAGCUAGUAGGUGGGGUAACGGCUCACCUAGGCGACGAUCCCUAGCUGGUCUGAGAGGAUGACCAGCCACACUGGAACUGAGACACGGUCCAGACUCCUACGGGAGGCAGCAGUGGGGAAUAUUGCACAAUGGGCGCAAGCCUGAUGCAGCCAUGCCGCGUGUAUGAAGAAGGCCUUCGGGUUGUAAAGUACUUUCAGCGGGGAGGAAGGGAGUAAAGUUAAUACCUUUGCUCAUUGACGUUACCCGCAGAAGAAGCACCGGCUAACUCCGUGCCAGCAGCCGCGGUAAUACGGAGGGUGCAAGCGUUAAUCGGAAUUACUGGGCGUAAAGCGCACGCAGGCGGUUUGUUAAGUCAGAUGUGAAAUCCCCGGGCUCAACCUGGGAACUGCAUCUGAUACUGGCAAGCUUGAGUCUCGUAGAGGGGGGUAGAAUUCCAGGUGUAGCGGUGAAAUGCGUAGAGAUCUGGAGGAAUACCGGUGGCGAAGGCGGCCCCCUGGACGAAGACUGACGCUCAGGUGCGAAAGCGUGGGGAGCAACAGGAUUAAUACCCUGGUAGUCA